CCCAGCACCACACCAGGCUCCAGUUUUGCAGUUUAGCUUUAAACGACUGAAACAUAAGCUCGCCUGACUCUGGAAAGUAUUUCCUUACUCUCAGUUUAGUGGCUUCAACAGCUCACUCAGGUCAGAGGGCCUGGGUCUGCACCCUGGCCAACAGCUCCCCAAAGGUUGAACUGCAGGCUCCUGCACACCUCUGCGCCAGGCCCCAGGGCUUGGAGACAGAAGCUCUGGCAGCCAUCCAUGGGCUGCCCCUUUCAGCUAAGCCUUUCCGGAUCCAAAGUCACGAUUCCUGAGGAGAGCAUGGGGGCGGGUGGGUAUUUCCCUCCCCUGCACACCCCGCUGGAGGCCCCAUGACAGGACCCGUGCAGUGCCUCAGCUCGGUCUGACAAGCGCGGGGCCCCUGACGCCUGCGCCGCCCCGCGCCCCCCGCGUCCAGCUCACCUGCCCGGACGCGUCGCCGCUGCCGCCGCCGCCGCCACCGCCGCCACCUCCAGCCGCCACAGCCCCGCCUCGCGCACCCCCAGUGCGCGCCACGGGAGGGGUCCACACUGUGUUUCGAUUGGCUGCUCUAUGGCUAAUCACCGCUGGAGACGGUAGGAAUUGGCGGGCAUGAAGCGGACAGACAGCCCCUGAAGCCAAUCACUGAAGAAAAGAGGCAGGGCUACUGGGAGAGGCUCCGGUUCCCCCGAGUGUUCCCGCAGGGUGCGAGGUCCUGGGAGGCAGGGCCUGGAGGCAGGCGAAGAUUGGAGCCUUGGCAGAAAACCGGCAGUCCUAAUUACCAAUCCCUGAGGGCCAAGGGCGGGGCUCCAAAGUAAACUGACGCGACUGGCUGGGCUGAGGUGAGAGGAACGGAGGGAGUAGCCUAAAGAGCAACAGUGAUUGGCUGCUACGGCGAAGACGAGCAGGCCCUGCGGCUAAUCGUAGCAGCUGUGGGCGGUGCGCCAAAAGACUGGGCUGGAGUGUAAGGUGCAGUUUGACCCGUCGCGCUGCUGGAGGUGGCCUUGGACGCCCCGCGGGUCUCCUGAGGCUCCAGAGAAGAGUCUGCCCUAUGGCCACCCAGCGCAAAAGUGGGGCCUCCUACUCUGACCGUGAACUUGGAUCAUAAAAACUGAAGGGCUCUUGGUUAAUCUUUCGACCCUUUCCUCCCCACUAUUCCGCUACAAAUGACACAGAGGGAAGAACCUAACUGGAGGUCACCCAGAGCCGCCCUCUGCUGCUCGGGGUGGUGUGCAGACGUGGAAAUAAGAAGUGGAGUCCCACUCAAAAGUUCUGUGUGAUUCCUGUAAAUGCCUGACUUCUGAGUUGAAGUUUUCUCCUCAGAGGGAUCCAAUGACAUUCCUGUUGGACCUCCUCCCGUUAAGCCUUUUGUGAACUGAAUCCUAACCACAACCCACGAUGUGAAGUGACCACUGACAGAAACCAAAACACAGAGAGAUCAAGUUCCUCGUCCAAAAUUACACAGCAUUUUGGUUACCCGAUCUGGAUAUGAAUUUCCAAAAAAGCAGGGUGUCGGAGUAAGGCAAUGCUAGAGCACAGCCACUGGAGUCUUGAGUUACACAGAUUAGUCACCUCCAGUUGGGCUGGGGUUGUGGCCAGUGGUAGAGCACUUGCCUGGUAUGUAUGAGGCACUGGGUUUGAUUCUCAGCACCACACAUAAAUAUAUAAAUAA